rnacentral:rRNA from 1 species
CCCGCUGAACUUAAGCAUAUCAAUAAGCGGAGGAAAAGAAACCAACAGGGAUUGCCUCAGUAACGGCGAGUGAAGCGGCAACAGCUCAAAUUUGAAAUCUGGCCCCCAGGCCCGAGUUGUAAUUUGUAGAGGAUGAUUCUGGCGACGCGCCUUCCGAGUUCCCUGGAACGGGACGCCAUAGAGGGUGAGAGCCCCGUCCGGUCGUGCGCCUAGCCUCUGUGAAUCUCCUUCGACGAGUCGAGUAGUUUGGGAAUGCUGCUCUAAAUGGGAGGUAUACGUCUUCUAAAGCUAAAUACCGGCCAGAGACCGAUAGCGCACAAGUAGAGUGAUCGAAAGAUGAAAAGCACUUUGAAAAGAGGGUUAAAAAGUACGUGAAAUUGCUGAAAGGGAAGCGCUUAUGACCAGACUUGGGCGUGGUGAAUCAUCCGGCGUUCUCGCCGGUGCACUUUGCCUGUCCAGGCCAGCAUCAGUUCUCCCCGGGGGAUAAAGGCUUCGGGAAUGUAGCUCCUUCGGGAGUGUUAUAGACCGUUGCGUAAUACCCUGGGGGGGACUGAGGUACGC